rnacentral:rRNA from 1 species
AUGAAGCCAGUCCAACUCCCAAAGACCCUGAGAAUCACGGCGGCGAGGGCCAGCCCCAACCAGAGUGUGCGUGCGACGGUCCUGGACAGAACAAGAGUCAACGUCAAGGAUGACGCGACAACCAGAAUCAGUAAGUUGACCAGCAGAAAACAGAUUCAUGGUGAGUCGAGGAACAUGAGCAACAUCAGGAACAGAGUAAGGAGUGGUAAGAGUGCCUCUACUAACGACAGAAAGUGGAGUACCAUCAGCAGUGAGGACAUGAACAGGAGAAUCCAGCGAGCGAAGAGAGGACAAAAUGGAAGAAUGAGAAGACAUAUGAAAAGAAGCUCCAGAGUCCAGAACCCAUGGGGAUGUACCUGA